GGGCCCUUAGCUCAGUUGGUCAGAGCAGGUGACUCAUAAUCACUUGGUCGCUGGUUCGAUUCCAGCAGGGCCCACCA
rnacentral:tRNA from 2 species